rnacentral:rRNA from 1 species
CAGUAGCCACGGGAAUACAGAGGGUGCGAGCGUUAAUCGGAUUUACUGGGCGUAAAGCGUGCGUAGGCGGCUUCUUAAGUCGGAUGUGAAAUCCCUGAGCUUAACUUAGGAAUUGCAUUCGAUACUGGGAAGCUAGAGUAUGGGAGAGGAUGGUAGAAUUCCAGGUGUAGCGGUGAAAUGCGUAGAGAUCUGGAGGAAUACCGAUGGCGAAGGCAGCCAUCUGGCCUAAUACUGACGCUGAGGUACGAAAGCAUGGGGAGCAAACAGGAUUAGAGACCCCAGUAGUCCCUGUCUCUUAUAA